rnacentral:lncRNA from 1 species
CUUCAUUCUCUUUCUGGCACAAAUCUCCUUUUAAAAAAAAAAAUUCGCAACUUUAAACAACUUCAAGGUAUGUUAUGUGCAUCUGAUGAACAUAUUCCAAUCUCAGUAUUCUAGAAAACAUGGAAAACAACCGUCACAACUAUCUUGGUCCUCACCAUGGGUUGCGCUGGGGGAGAUCGAAGCUGAACUAACAGCGAUAUUGAAGGAGACAACGCCGAGAUUGGACAUGUCGGAAUACACAACCGAGUCUGUGAGAAACGUAUGUAGUAAUAAGAAACAGAGGAGGAGCAUGUCCACACUCAUAACUCAUAAGCUCUCCACCUUUCUUGACAUUCUUAGCCUCCCAGAAUCUCAACAGAGACCUCGGUGGUGUUUAAUCAUCCGCCAGCUUACAAACCGGCGAGCAUAACAUAUGAAGUCGACAUAGAUGGAGGUGAUGCGUGACAGAGUUUAAUCAUAUCAGACCGCGGAGAUGUUCAUCGCAUCUGAACGGACUAAUUUAUAGCUCGGGUUGUAGUGGUCACCUUCAACGAUAAUGAAGCUGAGUGGGAGGGGGAGG